rnacentral:rRNA from 1 species
GACGAACGCUGGCGGCGUGCCUAAUACAUGCAAGUAGAACGCUGAAGGAGGAGCUUGCUUCUCUGGAUGAGUUGCGAACGGGUGAGUAACGCGUAGGUAACCUGCCUGGUAGCGGGGGAUAACUAUUGGAAACGAUAGCUAAUACCGCAUAAUAGUAGAUGUCGCAUGACAUUUGCUUAAAAGGUGCAAUUGCAUCACUACCAGAUGGACCUGCGUUGUAUUAGCUAGUUGGUGAGGUAACGGCUCACCAAGGCAACGAUACAUAGCCGACCUGAGAGGGGGAUCGGCCACACUGGGACUGAGACACGGCCCAGACUCCUACGGGAGGCAGCAGUAGGGAAUCUUCGGCAAUGGACGGAAGGCUGACCGAGCAACGCCGCGUGAGUGAAGAAGGUUUUCGGAUCGUAAAGCUCUGUUGUAAGAGAAGAACGAGUGUGAGAGUGGAAAGUUCACACUGUGACGGUAUCUUACCAGAAAGGGACGGCUAACUACGUG